AACGAACGCUGGCGGCAGGCCUAACACAUGCAAGUCGAGCGCACCUUCGGGUGAGCGGCGGACGGGUUAGUAACGCGUGGGAAUAUACCCAAAGGUAAGGAAUAGCCUCUGGAAACGGAGAGUAAUACCUUAUGUGCCCUACGGGGGAAAGAUUUAUCGCCUUUGGAUUAGCCCGCGUUAGAUUAGGUAGUUGGUGGGGUAAUGGCCUACCAAGCCUACGAUCUAUAGCUGGUUUGAGAGGAUGAUCAGCAACACUGGGACUGAGACACGGCCCAGACUCCUACGGGAGGCAGCAGUGGGGAAUCUUGGACAAUGGGGGAAACCCUGAUCCAGCCAUGCCGCGUGAGUGACGAAGGCCCUAGGGUCGUAAAGCUCUUUCGCCAGGGAAGAUAAUGACGGUACCUGGUAAAGAAACCCCGGCUAACUCCGUG
rnacentral:rRNA from 1 species